UAGGGAAUAUUGGACAAUGGGGGCAACCCUGAUCCAGCCAUGCCGCGUGAGUGAAGAAGGCCCUCGGGUUGUAAAGCUCUUUUGUCCGGAAAGAAAAGCUUCGGGUUAAUACCCCGGGGUUCUGACGGUACCGGAAGAAUAAGCACCGGCUACCUUCGUGCCAGCAGCCGCGGUAAUACGAAGGGUGCAAGCGUUACUCGGAAUUACUGGGCGUAAAGCGUGCGUAGGUGGUUGUUUAAGUCUGAUGUGAAAGCCCUGGGCUCAACCUGGGAAUGGCAUUGGAAACUGGGCAGCUAGAGUGCGGUAGAGGGUAGUGGAAUUCCCGGUUUAGCAGUGAAAUGCGUAGAGAUCGGGAGGAACAUCUGUGGCGAAGGCGACUGCCUGGACCAGCACUGACACUGAGGCACGAAAGCGUGGGGAGCAAACA
rnacentral:rRNA from 1 species